UUAUUGACAAGGUCCAGUUGGUUCGCUAUUUAAUCGAAGGCAGCAGUAGAAGAGUUUAGGGUUUAGGGUAGAGUUUGCGGCUUCUUCUUCACUGCUUCUGCUCCUUUCGUUUUUAGGGUUGAUGCGAUGCUUUACGCCAGAUCGAUGUAUCCAAGGACGGGCGGAUCGUGGUUUUCUGGGUUCUCUCUCCUCCUCGCUUACCCAAAGUGUCUGUUCUUGUUCCAAUCCAAAUAUUUCAGUGCUGUUAAAUUUUUUGCCGCCUGAGAGCUUUUGCCUUUCCAUGCUUGACAGCUUGUGCUGCUCAGUUCUUUCUUGGAUGUCUAAGAAAGUGGCCGCCUGAGAGCUUUCGCCUUGCCAGGCUCGAGAGCUUGUGCUGCUCAAUUCUUCCUUGGAUGUCUGAGGAAGGCAGUUGUAUUUUAUCCUAAUUGUGGUUGGGAUUUAUAACAAUUGAAUUGAUUGGGUUUAGAAUUUAUAGCUUUGUUGUUAUUUUUGCUUAAUUACUAUGAUGACAAAUUAUAGGCUUGUUUCUCAAAACAUUCACAGUUGCUGCCUGAGAGCUUUUGCCUUGCCAUGCUUGACAGCUUGUGUUGCUCAGUUCUUUCUUGGAUGUCUAAGAAAGGUGUAUUUCAUUUUUAUGAUUCUAAUUGUGAGUUUGAUCAAUUGAAUUGUGAGAUUUGGAAAUCUAUAAUCUAUGGCUUUAUUCCUACUUGUUCUUGUUUCCAAUGAUGACAAAUCCUAAGGCCUGUUUCUCAAAACAUUCGCAGUGGCCGCCUGAGAGCUUUCGCCUUGCCAGGCUCGAGAGCUUGUGCUGCUCAAUUCUUCCUUGGAUGUCUGAGGAAGGAAGUUGUAUUUUAUUCUAAUUGUGAUUUUGAACAAUUGGAUUGAUUGGAUUUCGAAUUUAUAGCUUUGUUGUUAUUUCUGCUUAUUUUCUAUGAUCACAAAUUCUAGGCUUGUUUCUCAAAACAUUCGCAGUUGCCACCUUAGAGCUUUCGCCUUGCCAAGCUUGAGAGCUUGUGCUGCUCAAUUCUUCCUUGGAUGUCUGAGAAAGUGGUCGCCUGAGAGCUUUCGCCUUGCCAGGCUCGAGAGCUUGUGCUGCUCAAUUCUUCCUUGGAUGUCUGAGGAAGGGAAUUAUAUUUUAUCCUAAUUGUGAUUGUGAUUUAUAACAAUUGGAUUGAUUGGAUUUCGAAUUUAUAGCUUUGUUGUUAUUUUUGCUUAUUUUCUAUGAUCACAAAUUCUAAGCUUGUUUCUCAAAACAUUCACAGUUGGCACCUGAGAGCUUUUGCCUUGCCAGGCUUGAGAGCUUGCGCUGCUCAAUUCUUCCUUGGGAUGUUUGAGAAAGGUGAAUUGUAAGCCUGUUUCGCAUUGGCUGCCUGAGAGCUUUCUCUUUGCCAGGCUUGAGAGCUUUUGCUGCUCAAUUCUUCCUUGGAUGUCUCAGGAAGGAAGUUGUAUUUUAUCCUAAUUGUGAUUUUCAUCAAUUGUCUUUUAUGGGUUUGUUGCUGUUUGAGCUUGUUUUCAUAUAUGUCAAUUAGCAAGGUAUUCUCAAAACAUUCUUAGUGGCCGCGUAAGAACUUUUGGCUUUACAGGCUCUAGAGUUUGUGCUGAAAGUGUUUCUCAUAAUGUUUUCAGUGCAGAAAGAACUUCUGAUUUUCUAAGCGCCUUAGUUAUUUUGUUUUGUUGAUUGUUUUUUAGAUAUUUUGGUUAUUGCUUAUGAUCUUACUGAUCCUCUCCAAAAUUAUGGAAUUUUAUGUGGGACUACACGUCUGCCUCUCUGGUAUUUUCCCUUACCUUAGAGAUGAAGUAGUCCCUAAUAUUUACUAUCCUUUUGCUUCACUAGUUGGCAUUGCAUUUCUUGUGCUAACAGUUUUUUUGAGGAGUAUAUUAUUUUUCAAUAUCAUUCUGCCUUUUAUAAAUAUGUUUUAAGUUGAUCUUUUCAAGUGCGGUUUUCAUUUUUGUUUUAUUUUACAGGUACCAGAGUUGUUCCUAGUUGUACUUUGUUGAAUUAAUUUAAAAGAAAAUAUCCUGAAAAAUAAUAGGUUGUUUUUAUUAUGUUUUAUUUGUACUUUGAUCCAUUUAAUCAUCCAUGCUGAAUUCUAUAUAACUUUUUUUUUUGCUGUUUUGUAUAUAAAACCUUCAUCUCUAUGAUUCUCGACUGCAUGAAAUAGUUUAGGCGUUUAUGUAUUUAUCAACAUAAUCGAGGAGUCUGAUCAGUUGAAUUGUUUUUGCUUGGAAUUUCAUGGUUUAGUUGCUAUUUGUGCUUGUUUCAAAUGAAGACAAUUCCUAAGGCUUGUUUCUCAAAGCCUCUGCAGUAGCUGCCUGAGAGCGAUCGCCUUGCCAGGCUUGAGAGCUUGUGCUGCUCAACACUUGGAUGUCUGAGUAAGGCCUGUUUCUCAAAACAUUCAGUGUCUCCCUGAGAGCUUUCGUCUUGCCAGGCUUGAGAGCUUAUGCUGCUUAAUUUUUCCCUGGAUGUCUGAGAGCCUUGCCAGGCUUGAGAGCUUGUGCUGUUUUGGAAUAUAUUGCUUUGUUGCUAUUUGUGCAUGAUUCAAAAAUUGGCUGUCAUGCUUUGUGCCUCUUUUUAUCCUAAUUGUGAUUUUGAACUAUUGAAUUGGUUUGGAAUUUAUGGCUUCGUUUCUAAUACAUUAUGCUGCUUACAACUUCUUGGAUUUUGUAUGUGCCUUUGUUGGAUAUUUUUUGACUGUUUAGUUGUUUUUUGUUUUUCAUCUUGUUGAUACAUGUCAAAAUUAUGCAGUUUUAUGGGGGGACAGAUGUUAAGUGAACUUUGUGAUUUUUCUUGUUUAAUUUUGCAGGUACCUGAGUUGUCACAAGUAUGUUGGAUUCACUUGAAAGAAAAAUACUUGGUGGGCACUAUUGUUUCUGUCAAGUUCUAGAUCAACAUCUUGAUUAUUUUUACUAAUCUAUCAAAGGAAAUGGGAUGAAGAUACACUAUGAGCAUAUCUCUAGAUCUCAUUUAAAGAAUUCAGAUAAAUUUUGUUUUUCUAUAAAUUUGUGUUUUUUAAGUUCAUGAGCUGCAUCAACCAAUUUGGAGAUCAAGAACAUGCACUGAGCAAUCGGAUACAAUUGCUGAUCAAAUUAUUUUCGUAAUGAAACGAGAGCAAAACAAAGUGGAGAUGAAUCUUAUUUGCCAGUAUCUUUGAUACCUGAAGAUCAUCAUUAUUUAGUUGAUUUAAUUCAUUUAGAUUCAGCACAAGAUUGUAAUUGGCGUGUACGAAGAACGGAUCAAUGAAGAGGGAUAUAAAAGUCGAAA